rnacentral:lncRNA from 1 species
AAUACUAGGACUAGGAGGGUAAAGACUAGCACACACUUCUUAAUACAUGUGAAAUUAGAACCACACUCUCAGAAUCAUUGGGUAGUCCAGUAGGAAAACACCAAAUCCUCAGCUGUGAUACAUUAGUUAACAGUGCCUGUGCUGGCCACCAUCACAAUAUGAGUGAUAUGGGGAGAGAUUACCAUCUGUUCUUUCAGACUCUGGCUGCUGAUGGCCAACAGCAUGAUCUAGGACUAAAUGGUUAUCCUCACAUCACAGUGGCAGUGCUGUAGCGUAUUUAUAUUUUAACAUUGUAAAGCAUAAAUUAUGUUUUUUAACCUUUAAUUGUUCAUUUUUUUGUGGAGGUGGAGGAAAUCCGGGGCUGCCUGCUAAUCAGCAGAACACCAGUCAGAAACAGAAUGUGGCAGGACCUGGGGACUCAGUAUCAAUACCACUUCAGUCUGGUGAACCCAGUGAUGUGACAUAUGCUGAAAUUGAUCUGAAACCCAAGGAGAAGAAAGCAUCUAAAGGUGAGAUUAAAAGAAUAAAUUAUAAGAUGAAUUCCUUUCAAAACAUGACAUUCUGAAAACUCAACUUUAAC